AACGCGAAGAACCUUACCUACCCUUGACAUGGCAGGAAUCCUGGAGAGAUCUGGGAGUGCUCGAAAGAGAACCUGCACACAGGUGCUGCAUGGCUGUCGUCAGCUCGUGUCGUGAGAUGUUGGGUUAAGUCCCGCAACGAGCGCAACCCUUGUCAUUAGUUGCUACGAAAGAGCACUCUAAUGAGACUGCCGGUGACAAACCGGAGGAAGGUGGGGAUGACGUCAAGUCCUCAUGGCCCUUAUGGGUAGGGCUUCACACGUCAUACAAUGGUACAUACAGAGGGCCGCCAACCCGCGAGGGGGAGCUAAUCCCAGAAAGUGUAUCGUAGUCCGGAUUGCAGUCUGCAACUCGACUGCAUGAAGUUGGAAUCGCUAGUAAUCGCGGAUCAGCAUGUCGCGGUGAAUACGUUCCCGGGCCUUGUACACACCG
rnacentral:rRNA from 1 species